rnacentral:rRNA from 1 species
CCUACGGGGGGCUGCAGUGGGGAAUAUUGCACAAUGGGGGGAACCCUGAUGCAGCGACGCCGCGUGAGUGAAGAAGUAUUUCGGUAUGUAAAGCUCUAUCAGCAGGGAAGAACAUGACGGUACCUGACUAAGAAUCCCCGGCUAAGUACGUGCCAGCAGCCGCGGUAAGACGGCGGGGGCGAGCGUUAUCCGGAUUUACUGGGUGUAAAGGGAGCGUAGGCGGUUAUGCAAGUCUGAAGUGAAAGCCCAAGGCUCAACCAGGGGACUGCUUUGGAAACUGUAAAACUGGAGUGCAGGAGAGGGAAGUGGAAUUCCGAGUGUAGCGGUGAAAUGCGUAGAUAUUAGGAGGAACACCAGUGGCGAAGGCGGCUUACUGGACUGUAACUGACGUUGAGGCUCGAAGGCGUGGGGAGCAAACAGGAUUAGAUACCCGGGUAGUC